CCCAGCGCCGGUCUCAGUUCCAAGCCAAACCCGUUCUGCAGCAUGCUUUUGUACCUUUCCAGAGACUGAUCUGAAUCAGCUUGCCAGAUUUUUCUCGACCUCUGUGUCUCCUGUAUCUUUCCGGUUCUGUGGACUCGUCUGUGAAGAGGGCUGUGAAGAAAGUCGUGUAUCUCCUGUAUCGUUAUCGUGCCUUCUGAUGACUGAGUUCCCUGGCGCAUUUAACCUCAGGAAAAAUCUGAGCAUACCCUUAGAAAUUGGGGUAACCUCCAAUAAAACCCAUGUUUCUCCUUUUCCUGA